rnacentral:snRNA from 1 species
GUUCUCACUUUGGCAGCACAAAUACUAAAACUGUAAUGAUACAGAGAAGAUUAGCAUGGUC